rnacentral:rRNA from 1 species
UAAGGAAUAUUGGACAAUGGGCGCAAGCCUGAUCCAGCCAUGCCGCGUGCAGGAUGAAAGUGCUCUGCACUGUAAACUGCUUUUACUUGGGAAAAAACCCCUGGUUUACACCGGGGCUGAUUGUACCGAGAGAAUAAGGGACGGCUAACUUCGUGCCAGCAGCCGCGGUAAUACGAAGGUCCCAAGCGUUAUCCGGGUUUAUUGGGUUUAAAGGUGCGUAGGCGGGCUAUUAAGUCAGUGGUGAAAGCCCCAAGCUUAACUUGGGAACUGCCAUUGAUACUGAUGGUCUUGAGUACAUUUGAGGUGGGCGGAAUGUGUCAUGUAGCGGUGAAAUGCUUAGAUAUGACACAGAACACCGAUUGCGAAGGCAGCUCACUAAACUGUAACUGACGCUGAGGCACGAAAGCGUGGGGAGCAAACAGGAUUAGAUACCCUGGUAGUCCACGCCCUAAACGAUGAUCACUCGAUGUGUGCGAUAU